AAAAAAAAAGAAAAAAAAAAUAAAAAAAAAACAAAAAAAAUAAAAAAAAAAGCCAUAUCUUAUGU
rnacentral:ribozyme from 1 species